AGAAGAAGAAGAAGAAUAAGAAGAAAAUGAUGUAACCGUAGAUCCAAGAUAUAACAAAGAUUUCAGAAAUGACAACCACAACGAGGGAUAUAAAAAUCCUGCGACCAAGGUACUAGAGGAAGAAAAUGACAUAGAUGAUGAUUCCGACAAUGAAGAAACCAAUAAUGAGGUACAAGAGGAAGGAAAUGACACAGAUGGUGAUCUCACAAUUGAAGAAAGUACAAGAAUGAACAAGGGAGACAACAAUAGUCAUGCCGACAACUGUACCAUCAAAGGUGACAAUGAUGAAGAAUGGAACACCAAAACUAGAAGCAAAAUUGAAAGGGAUCGAGAAGAGGUGUCUAGAGGGG